CCAUCUGUGAUGAUCUUAUCAAAAUGACUUUCGUUCUUCUGAGUUUGCUGAAGCCACUUUCAGAUGCUGAGGGGG